rnacentral:rRNA from 1 species
UGGGGAAUUUUGGACAAUGGGCGAAAGCCUGAUCCAGCAAUGCCGCGUGUGUGAAGAAGGCCUUCGGGUUGUAAAGCACUUUUGUCCGGAAAGAAAUCCUUGGCUCUAAUACAGUCGGGGGAUGACGGUACCGGAAGAAUAAGCACCGGCUAACUACGUGCCAGCAGCCGCGGUAAUACGUAGGGUGCAAGCGUUAAUCGGAAUUACUGGGCGUAAAGCGUGCGCAGGCGGUUUGCUAAGACCGAUGUGAAAUCCCCGGGCUCAACCUGGGAACUGCAUUGGUGACUGGCAGGCUAGAGUAUGGCAGAGGGGGGUAGAUUCCACGUGUAGCAGUGAAUGCGUAGAGAUGUGGAGGAAUACCGAUGGCGAAGGCAGCCCCCUGGGCCAAUACUGACGCUCAUGCACGAAAGCGUGGGGAGCAAACAGGAUUAGAUACCCUGGUAGUCCACGCCCUAAACGAUGUCAACUAGUUGUUGGGGAUUCAUUUCCUUAGUAACGUACUAACGCGUGAAGUUGACCGCCUGGGGAGUACGGUCGAAGAUU